ensembl:snRNA U1 U1 spliceosomal RNA
AUACUUACCUGGCAGAGGAGAUACCAUGAUCACGAAGGUGCUUCACCCAGGGUGAGGCUCAGCCAUUGCGCUGCAGCUGUGCUAACCCCUGCGAAUUCCUCAAAUGUGGGAAUCUCCACUGCAUAAUUUCUGGUAGUGGGUGGACUGCAUUUGUGCUCUCCCCUC